rnacentral:rRNA from 1 species
UUGAACGCUGGCGGCCGGCCUAACACAUGCAAGUCGAGCGGAUGAAGGGAGCUUGCUCCUGGAUUCAGCGGCGGACGGGUGAGUAAUGCCUAGGAAUCUGCCUGGUAGUGGGGGAUAACGUCCGGAAACGGGCGCUAAUACCGCAUACGUCCUGAGGGAGAAAGUGGGGGAUCUUCGGACCUCACGCUAUCAGAUGAGCCUAGGUCGGAUUAGCUAGUUGGUGGGGUAAAGGCCUACCAAGGCGACGAUCCGUAACUGGUCUGAGAGGAUGAUCAGUCACACUGGAACUGAGACACGGUCCAGACUCCUACGGGAGGCAGCAGUGGGGAAUAUUGGACAAUGGGCGAAAGCCUGAUCCAGCCAUGCCGCGUGUGUGAAGAAGGUCUUCGGAUUGUAAAGCACUUUAAGUUGGGAGGAAGGGCAGUAAGUUAAUACCUUGCUGUUUUGACGUUACCAGCAGAAUAAGCACCGGCUAACUUCGUG